AAAUUUCUGUAACAGCUGUCACAAAAGUAGUAGAUUCUGAGAUCUGUGCAUACUAGUGAUUGAAGAUAGAACAGCUUUGUUUGUAUCCCCCAAAAUCAAGGAUAAGGAUGCAAUCUGUGUACCAAACCAAAAAGGCAUGAAAAGGUCACUUGCCCUUUUGUUGCAUGUGAUUUCCUGCAUCUUCCUGCAAUAGCACAACUUCCUACUUGUCAUCAUCAGCUUGCUGAGUAUACAGGCUGAAUUCUGUUCUUUCCUUUGAAGACCAGCUUGAAUUUCAGGGCAGGAAAUAACAUUGUAUAGCAAAUCAAAAUUAUUGAAUGGUCCUAUGAUUGCUGUAAAUGUCUACAUUGCUGGUUUUAUGUCAGUUCCCCAUCUUUUAUUUUUGUUCACUUGAAUAGCAUUUAGUUUUCAUUCAGUGGUAUAUGACAUCAGUUAAAAAUUUGUGUGAUGCCCCUCUUGAAAGAAAGAAGAGGUGUGAAUCGGCUUUGUCUUUGGUAAAAUGAACUUCAGCAUUUUCAAAUACUGUGGAUCAGUGAGGAGGAGAGGUUCUACGGUGACCUCUAGAAAACUUGCUAUGCCUUUUUAAGUCUGGAAGGAAUUUAGCUGCAAGAGGUUUUCUAUAAUAGCAUUGAGGAGGGAAAGAGUGGUGGCAUGUUUUCCUCUAAAAUGGUAAUUGGAUUCUCAAGUGUGUGGGUUAUAUCAGAAGUGGACCAGACUGUUUUAACCUCAUCACCUAAAGAUAACAAGCAAUAUGUAUGUUUGGCUGGACCACUCAAUAUUCAGGAAUACUUACUCUCCUUUUUCUAUCAGCAGUUGUAUUUUCACGCUUGAGCCAGAGGGAUGAGGAAGCAAAUUGCCUAGGUUGGUUUUUUUUAAGCUUAUCAGCAUAAUUGUCAGCUAUGCUCAGGUAUAAACUGUUGUUUUAUCAAAA